CAGUCGCCACGGUAAUACGUAGGUGGCAAGCGUUGUCCGGAAUUAUUGGGCGUAAAGCGCGCGCAGGUGGUUUAAUAAGUCUGAUGUGAAAGCCCACGGCUCAACCGUGGAGGGUCAUUGGAAACUGUUAAACUUGAGUGCAGGAGAGAAAAGUGGAAUUCCUAGUGUAGCGGUGAAAUGCGUAGAGAUUAGGAGGAACACCAGUGGCGAAGGCGGCUUUUUGGCCUGUAACUGACACUGAGGCGCGAAAGCGUGGGGAGCAAACAGGAUUAGAUACCCGGGUAGUCCCUGUCUCUUAUAC
rnacentral:rRNA from 1 species